UGGGGAAUAUUGGACAAUGGGCGCAAGCCUGAUCCAGCCACGCCGCGUGAGUGAUGAAGGCCUUCGGGUCGUAAAGCUCUGUGGGGAGGGACGAACCGCCGGGCGUGCAUAGCGUCCGGCAUGACGGUACCUCCUUAGCAAGCACCGGCUAACUUCGUGCCAGCAGCCGCGGUAAUACGAAGGGUGCAAACGUUGCUCGGAAUUAUUGGGCGUAAAGCGCACGUAGGCGGCUUAGCAAGUCGGAAGUGAAAUCCCUCGGCUCAACCAAGGAAGUGCUUUCGAAACUGCUGAGCUUGAGUACUUAAGAGGAUCGCGGAAUUCCCGGUGUAGAGGUGAAAUUCGUAGAUAUCGGGAGGAACACCAGUGGCGAAGGCGGCGAUCUGGGAAGAUACUGACGCUGAGGUGCGAAAGCGUGGGGAGCAAACA
rnacentral:rRNA from 1 species